rnacentral:lncRNA from 1 species
GGAGAAACAAUAAGUAUGUAUGGCACUAAAAUGAUGUUUCAAAUGAAUAGAGCUGGAGCUUAUGUUCCAUCUGUUGAGAUUGAGAAGCCUGUGAUGGAGGAUGUGGAUAACACAAUGUUGUAUGUCAGAUCAUCUAAAUGUGAUACUCUCACUAUGGAGCCGAAGUUGUCAUAUGGCCACAAUCUUGUUCAAUUUUCUGAUGUACUCCAAUUUGUGUAAGCAUUCUAUUUCAUGGCAACACUUUCAUAAAAUUGAUAUUUCUUGUAUUCACAUAA